UACGUAGGGUGCAAGCGUUGUCCGGAAUUAUUGGGCGUAAAGAGCUCGUAGGCGGUUUGUCGCGUCUGCUGUGAAAACCCGAGGCUCAACCUCGGGCCUGCAGUGGGUACGGGCAGACUAGAGUGUGGUAGGGGAGAAUGGAAUUCCCGGUGUAGCGGUGAAAUGCGCAGAUAUCAGGAGGAACACCGGUGGCGAAGGCGGGACUCUGGGCCGAUACUGACGCUGAGGAGCGAAAGCGUGGGGAGCGAACAGG
rnacentral:rRNA from 1 species